ACGAACGCUGGCGGCAGGCCUAACACAUGCAAGUCGAACGAGAAGCCAUCCUUCGGGAUGGUGGGCAGUGGCGAACGGGUGAGUAACGCGUGGGAACCUGCCCUUCGGUACGGGACAACCGCGGGAAACUGCGGCUAAUACCGUAUAUUCCCUACGGGGGAAAGAUUUAUCGCCGAAGGAUGGGCCCGCGUCCGAUUAGCUUGUUGGUGAGGUAAAAGCUCACCAAGGCAACGAUCGGUAGCUGGUUUGAGAGGAUGAUCAGCCACACUGGGACUGAGAUACGGCCCAGACUCCUACGGGAGGCAGCAGUGGGGAAUAUUGGACAAUGGGGGCAACCCUGAUCCAGCCAUGCCGCGUGAGUGAAGAAGGCCUUAGGGUUGUAAAGCUCUUUCAGCGAGGAAGAUAAUGACGGUACUCGCAAAAGAAGCCCCGGCUAACUCCGUGCCAGCAGCCGCGGUAAUACGGAGGGGGCUAGCGUUGUUCGGAAUUACUGGGCGUAAAGCGUGCGUAGGCGGUUUGUUAAGUUGGGCGUGAAAGCCCGGGGCUCAACCCCGGAACUGCGUUCAAAACUGACAGACUAGAGACCGGGAGAGGAGAGUGGAAUUCCCAGUGUAGAGGUGAAAUUCGUAGAUAUUGGGAAGAACACCAGUGGCGAAGGCGACUCUCUGGCCCGGUUCUGACGCUGAGGCACGAAAGCGUGGGGGAGCGAACAGGAUUAGAUACCCUGGUAGUCCACGCCGUAAACGAUGAGUGCUAGACGUCGGGAGGCUUGCCUUUCGGUGUCGCAGCUAACGCAUUAAGCACUCCGCCUGGGGAGUGCGGCCGCAAGGUUAAAACUCAAAGGAAUUGACGGGGGCCCGCACAAGCGGUGGAGCAUGUGGUUUAAUUCGACGCAACGCGCAGAACCUUACCAGCCCUUGACAUGCUAGGUCGCGGAUUCCAGAGAUGGAAUUCUUCAGUUCGGCUGGACCUAGUGCAGGUGCUGCAUGGCUGUCGUCAGCUUGUGUCGUGAGAUGUUGGGUUAAGUCCCGCAACGAGCGCAACCCUCAUCUUCAGUUGCCAGCGGUUAGGCCGGGCACUCUGAAGAAACUGCCGGUGAUAAGCCGGAGGAAGGUGGGGAUGACGUCAAGUCCUCAUGGCCCUUACGGGCUGGGCUACACACGUGCUACAAUGGCGGUGACAGUGGGUCGCAAGAGCGCAAGCUGGAGCUAAUCCCCAAAAACCGUCUCAGUUCGGAUUGUUCUCUGCAACUCGAGAGCAUGAAGUUGGAAUCGUUAGUAAUCGCGGAUCAGCAUGCCGCGGUGAAUACGUUCCCGGCCCUUGUACUCA
rnacentral:rRNA from 1 species